rnacentral:lncRNA from 1 species
GGUGCCUAAAUUUCCCCCCGAAAUCCAUAUCCCCAAAUCCAUUUCCUUUACCUUCCAACUCCGAAAUCGAAGAUGACCAAAAACUCAGCCGUCUACAGUAAAAAUGAAGUCAUGCUUGAACCCAUUGGACGACGACAGCGACGCAGGCAUCAUUGACAUUGGCGACGACAGGAGGCUAUUAUCUCCAUAUUCUACGGUCAGAGAUGAAAUUGAAGCCGACGAAG